ACGGAAGGCAGCAGUAGGGAAUAUUGGACAAUGGGGGCAACCCUGAUCCAGCGACGCCGCGUGAGUGAAGAAAUAUUUCGGUAUGUAAAGCUCUAUCAGCAGGGAAGAAAAUGACGGUACCUGACUAAGAAGCACCGGCUAAAUACGUGCCAGCAGCCGCGGUAAUACGUAUGGUGCAAGCGUUAUUCGGAUUUACUGGGUGUAAAGGGAGCGUAGACGGCAUAGCAAGUCUGAAGUGAAAUGCGGGGGCUCAACCCCUGAACUGCUUUGGAAACUGUUAAGCUAGAGUGUCGGAGAGGUAAGUGGAAUUCCUAGUGUAGCGGUGAAAUGCGUAGAUAUUAGGAGGAACACCAGUGGCGAAGGCGGCUUACUGGACUGUAACUGACGUUGAGGCUCGAAAGCGUGGGGAGCAAACAGGAUUAGAUACCCUGGUA
rnacentral:rRNA from 1 species